GAUGAACGCUGGCGGCGUGCCUAAUACAUGCAAGUCGAGCGAACAGACGAGGAGCUUGCUCCUCUGACGUUAGCGGCGGACGGGUGAGUAACACGUGGAUAACCUACCUAUAAGACUGGGAUAACUUCGGGAAACCGGAGCUAAUACCGGAUAAUAUAUUGAACCGCAUGGUUCAAUAGUGAAAGACGGUUUUGCUGUCACUUAUAGAUGGAUCCGCGCCGCAUUAGCUAGUUGGUAAGGUAACGGCUUACCAAGGCGACGAUGCGUAGCCGACCUGAGAGGGUGAUCGGCCACACUGGAACUGAGACACGGUCAAGACUACUACGGGAGGCAGCAGUAGGGAAUCUUCCGCAAGGGGCGAAAGCCUGACGGAGCAACGCCGCGUGAGUGAUGAAGGUCUUCGGAUCGUAAAACUCUGUUAUUAGGGAAGAACAAAUGUGUAAGUAACUAUGCACGUCUUGACGGUACCUAAUCAGAAGGCCACGGCUAACUACG
rnacentral:rRNA from 1 species